rnacentral:tRNA from 1 species
GGACGGCUAGCUCAAUGGUUAGAGCGCCUGCUUUACACGCAGGAGGUUAUAGGUUCGAGUCCUAUGCCGUCCA